GGGGUUGUGGCUCAGUGGAAGAGCACUCGCCUAGCACGUGUGAGGCACUGAGCUCGAUCCUCAGCAUCCCA
rfam:Ictidomys tridecemlineatus contig058704, whole genome shotgun sequence.